rnacentral:lncRNA from 1 species
UUCAAUCAAGCAAUCAUAUUAUGCCACGUUAAUAGCUAUAGAAAUAAUUUGCUAGAUAGUGCCAACACUUCAUUGAUACUCACCAUUUCAUUGAACAAUUUUUUUAUGGUGUCAUUGAGGUUUCCUUCCCAACAUCCUUCGUCAUCACCAUCUUCUUCUUCGGUGGGUUUCACUUUGUUUAGCUUCGGUGCGUCUACGACUCCUUGAGAGAAAAUCUUCAUUGUUGGGCACUGUCUCACAACUACGUGUUCCAAGGACGGGAACUCAAGAGCGUAAUUACCCAAACAAAAGCUUGUUAGGCUUGGCAAACAAUCAAGUCCCAAGUACUCCAAUUUCCUGAAAACAAUGCAAUCUUCCGCUUCUUCUCCAACCUGCGAUUGUAUGAUUUCUUCUAUCAUUUUGCAAUCAGCUAUCUUCAUUCUUUCGAGAUUCACUAGAGUUUUAGAUGUUGAGAGCGUCAACACAUUUAUCAACCCGUGACACUUCGAUACUUCUAGUUCCCACAGAUUUUCCAAAUGCCACGAAGGUGGUACUAAUUUUUGCAACUUACUACAUUCCGAUAUUUCUAGACUUCCCAAGUUUGCAAACGCUUUGCUGGAUUCGUCAUUUUCCUUCCAGAGAUGCUGCACUUUGUGUAAUCCAGAUACUUUAACUCUAUCAAUUGAGGGAAUGCAACCUAAAAAUCAACAAAAUUAAGUUGUAAAUGAAAAUAUGUAUCCAAUCUCUGCAGUCUUCCCCUGCAUAUUUUAUGGACAAGAUUAAUCACAGCAUUUUAUAUUUUUUUUUCCAAAUUAGUAUGCUUUGCAGUAGGAUCCCAAAUAUAAGUAUCAAAUCGAUUACCCUUUGAAACACAUAAAUGAAAUCUGAUGCUAAAUCUAAUAUGAAUUAGCUAGGAAAACAGAGAUGUUACACACAUAAUUAAUAUAGUUCAUCACCUCGUGUUACCAGGCAUCCAAUUAAUUUCAGACACUUUUAUAAUUCAUACUAUAAAGUUAGUUAAUAAUUGCGGUUAUAUUGUUAAAUCAGAUAUAAAUUAAGACGACAUGUAAAAAGAUGAGUCAUUAAAUUUGAUUUGAUUAUUGAUACUCACCAUUUCAUUGAACAAUUUUUUUAUGGUGUCAUUGAGGUUGCCUUCCCCACAUCCUUCAUCAUCAUCUUUUUCUUCUUCGGUGACGUUCACUUUGUUUAGCAUUGGUGUGUCUAAGACUCCUUGAGAGAAGAUCUUCAUUUUUGGACACUGUCUCACAACUACUUGUUUCAAGGACGGGAAUUCAAGAGCGUAAUUACCCAAACAAAAGCUUGUUAGGAUUGGCAAACAAUCAAGUUCCAAGUACUUUAAUUCCUUGAAAACAAUGCAAUCUUUCGUUUUUUCUCCAACCUGCGAUUGUAUGAUUUCUUCUAUCAUUUUGCAAUCAGCUAUCUUUAUUCUUUGAAGAUUCACUAGAUUUUUAGAUGCUGAGAGCGUCAACGCAUUUAUCAACCCGUGACACUUCGAUACUUGUAGUCCCCACAGAUUUUCCAAAUGCCACGAAGGUGGUACUAAUUUUUG